GUGCGGGGCCAAUGAAAAUAUCCUGAUAUGGUUGAACAGAAGGGUUUGCUCAACAUAAAACCUCCACGUGUCCCCCAGAUUAGAAAAUGCGCUAGUUGAGCUGAGUUUCCCGCCCUCAAUUAGCUACUGUUGCAGCCAGGCAGCAAUCUCGUUAUCAUUGAUUUGAUGCGGAAUGAAUCAGCGCUGACACAUCUCCACACUCAGCGAAGGAACAGCGCAGCACGUCGACGCGUCAACUGAUGGACAGAGUGAAGCGUUAAAGUUAUCCCGCGGGGCCCGGGGAUCGUUGUUGUGGUGGGGAAAAAACAACUGAGCCAGCAGUCACGGGAGCUAAAUAUUUGGAUGCUAUGCCCUUUUCGAAAGGAGGAGGACGAGAACUCGAGCGUUUUGAUGGACUCUCGCUAAUUUACUGGACACUAAUGGGUCCGUAUGGGGUAGACCGUGCCGUUCAUGAAAUAGAAUUUACUGACUGUGAGAAUGGACUGGGGAUCAAAGUGAUUGGAGGAAUGAAGGAGUUAACGGGAGAGGAGUUUGGAGUCUACGUGAAAAGGAUUUUACCUGGUGGCCUUGCUUCAAGUGAUGGACACCUCCAGGCGGGAGACCAGAUCUUGGAGGUGAAUGGGGAGAGUUUACUAGGGGUCACUAGUGAAAGAGCAGUAGACGUUCUGAGAUCAGCGUCCUCGAGCAACCAAAUGCGCCUUCUGAUCGCCAGAGACGAGGAAGCCAGGAGAGAGUUUUCAGAGCUUUUGGAGAAGUAUGGAUCCAGCAGUAGUACUGGGUCGACACGCAACUCUCCCAUCCAGCAUGGCAGAUAUCUGGACAGCACAUCGUCC
ensembl:lncRNA